rnacentral:rRNA from 1 species
UACAGAGGGUGCAAGCGUUGUUCGGAAUUACUGGGCGUAAAGCGCGUGUAGGCGGCGUCGUUAGUCGGAUGUGAAAGCCCUCGGCUCAACCGAGGAAGUGCAUCCGAUACUGCGAUGCUUGAGUGUUGGAGGGGGUGGCGGAAUUCCCGGUGUAGAGGUGAAAUUCGUAGAUAUCGGGAGGAACACCUGUGGGCGAAGGCGGCCACCUGGACAACAACUGACGCUGAGACGCGAAAGCGUGGGUAGCAAACAGG